GUUUAUACAUCUCUAAAAUAAAAAUUUGUGGCAGCCAAAGAAAAUUACCAUCACAGCCAGCAGCCCCCACUCAAGAUACACGGUUCCGAAGGUUUUGGUCUCAAGAACUUACCAGGGAACAUGUUUCGCCGGGCCUCGUUUAGAAAAUGGACAUAACUGUUCCUGGUGGAUGGUUGAUAUUGGACAAGAUCAUCAGCUUAUGUGCAGCUACUAUGCCAUGAGGCAAGAUGGCUCCAAGGCCUUUCCGAGACAUUGGAAUAUUCAGGUACACAAUAGUCGACUCUAUUUAGAGGGAUAAGAUUUAGUUGUUGUUGUUUUCAUAAUAAGUGUUUGAUGCACGCAAAUUAGGGUUCGUUUUAAUUCAGAACUAGAGAAUUAGGGGGUUCUACAUGUUUGGAAUAUGUAGGCAUAAUGUUUUUGAUUACGGAGCAGAAAACAGGGAUUGUUUUUUACUGCAUCACAAUCAGGAAGAGAACAAUGUGAUCCCUACAUUCAACUCAUUAAUAUUUUAUUUGAUUAUUCGUUGUACAUUACGAUAAAAUAUGUUCCGCUUCUCAACUAGGCAAUUGAAAAAAGAAUUUCUGUCGAAGCACAGGUAUGAGAAGAAUCAGUUUUAUAGGGCCCACCACGACUACUUUGCUGAUACCGUAAUCUGCCGCAGCACAGGUAUGAGAAGAAUCUGCGAGUAUCAAUCUAACUGAGAAUAAACUGUGCAUUAUUUUGACGAAUAACAAGAUGCAUGUAUCUUUUGUUUAAUAUUUAUUGCUUUAGUUUGUAGAACUUUCAAAAUUGUGUUUUGUCACCGUUGUCCGAUUCUCAUUCCACAUUCCUCUCAUUGAUAGAGUAAAAUUUUAAUUAUUAUGGGUUUAGAAAGUAGAAAAAAAGUGGAAUGCCUAAUGAUUGUAUUUUUAGAUCUUAUUUUAAUUAUUUUACUUUUAUUUUUUCAAAUCAUGAAUCAUGAUAUUGAUGGAGAUUUUCAGUCACUCGAAGAUGAAGCGACUCAAAGAUGAAGCGACGUAAAUGUAGAGAGAUGUAGUUGUUUAAGUUAAAAUUAAUGUAUGUUGAUACUCAUUUUAAGAUGUUAUUUUUAUAUAUGAAUAAGUUUUAUAAUUUAAGAUCAUAAAAAUAUUUUUAUGUAAAAAUGA